UACGGCACGGGUGCAAUUCUCGGCACAACACCGGAGCUAAGGGCCUUGCUUCAAAUGACAGGAAAGAAAAUAGCGCGAGCAGUUCAGUAAUUCAAGUAAUUUCAAGACUUCAUUUACAAGCAAAGGUUGUUUAUAUGUCAACGGUCAAAAAGAUGACGUGACUCACUCGGUGUGGCCCUGGAAGACAUUGACUGAGUGGAUGGAGGGAUCUCUGAAGUCCCACAGGCGGAAGGUGGUGUCUCUGGAUGAAGUGACCACCAGACGCUGAGUCGGAUGAGUGCAGCAGUGGGUCAACUCCUGAUCGUGACCUGCAAACACACACAAACAG
rnacentral:lncRNA from 1 species